CAGGGUGGGAGGAAGCGCGUCCCAAGGCCCAGGAUCUGCGAGGCGACUUGGGGAAAACGCAGGACCUGCUGAAGCUCACACCCGUGGACCACCCAGACUGCCUGCCGCUACAGGAUGCCCUCCGCAUCUCCCAGGACUUCUUUCCGGCAUCAGUGUGGACAUUGACCCCACUGGACUGCAGUCACAGUGGACUCCCAAGGGGCAGAGAUGGGGUCUCUCUAUAUUGCCCAGGCCGGUGGUGAACUCCUGGGUUCAAGCCAUUCACCCACCUCGCCCUCUGGAAGUGCUGGGAUUAUAGGCAUGAGCCACUGCGCCUGGCCUUGGAUGAGUUCUUAUUCACCUUCCUGUCGGCCUCCACAUGAAGCUCCCCAAACCUUGUCCUCUUUGGUCUUGUAAAAAAAUAUAUAUAAUUAAAAAAUUAAAGACAGGGUCUUACUA
rnacentral:lncRNA from 1 species